CCUACGGGUGGCAGCAGUGAGGAAUAUUGGUCAAUGGACGAGAGUCUGAACCAGCCAAGUAGCGUGAGGGAUGACUGCCCUAUGUGUUGUAAACUUCUUUUAUAUGGGAAUAAAAUGUUCCACGUGUGGGAUUUUGUAUGUACCAGAAGAAUAAGGAUCGGCUAACUCCGUGCCAGCAGCCGCGGUAAUACGGAGGAUCCGAGCGUUAUCCGGAUUUAUUGGGUUUAAAGGGUGCGUAGGUGGAUUGUUAAGUCAGUGGUAAAAGUUUGGGGCUCAACCGUAGAAUUGCGGUGAAACUGGCAGUCUUGAGUAGAGUAGAGGUAGGCGGAAUUCGUGGUGUAGCGGUGAAAUGCUUAGAUAUCGCGAAGAACUCCGAUUGCGAAGGCAGCUUACUGGACUGCAACUGACGCUGAGGCACGAAAGUGUGGGUAUCAAACAGGAUUAGAUACCCGAGUAGUC
rnacentral:rRNA from 1 species